rnacentral:rRNA from 1 species
UCCUACGGGAGGCUGCAGUAGGGAAUAUUGUUUAAUCUGCGAAAGCGGGAAACAGCAACGCCGCGUGUGUGAUGAAGGCCUUCGGGUCGUAAAACACUUUUCAGAGGGAUGAGGAAGGACAGUACCUCUGGAAUAAGCAUCGGCUAACUACGUGCCAGCAGCCGCGGUAACACGUAGGAUGCGAGCGUUAUCCGGAUUUAUUGGGCGUAAAGCGUGCGCAGGUGGUUUGGUAAGUUGGAUGUGAAAGCUCCUGGCUUAACUGGGAGAGGUCGUUCAAUACUACUGAACUUGAGAGUGGUAGAGGAAGGUGGAAUUCCGCGUGUAGUGGUGAAAUGCGUAGAUAUGCGGAGGAACACCAGUGGCGAAAGCGGCCUUCUGGACCAUUUCUGACACUCAGGCACGAAAGCUAGGGUAGCAAACGGGAUUAGAUACCCGUGUAGUCCG